rnacentral:lncRNA from 1 species
CAAAAUUCUUUGUGUAAAAGUACUAAUUUCUUGCUGAAUUCUUAAGCAAAGACAAAUUUAACACUUAGCUGGCUGCAGGACUCCUGCCCAUCUGGCAUCAUAGUGGCUCAGAUGAAAAGAAAAAAUGAAAAUCUCUUUACACAGAGGUGUGGGAAAAAUUGCCUUAUCAUGGUGUUUAUGAAACUAAACAGUGGCAUGGGUGUAAGGGUUGCUGAAAAGAAAAGAAAGGAAAACAAAGGAAAAGAAAAGAAAGGAAGAGGAAAGAGCAGAGAACUGGUCUUAUUCAUGAAUGAAAGAGGAGGCAUUCCAAGGAAACCACAGCAGAAAAGGAACUUUGGUGGUAACAAUGGAUGUCGUGGAUAAAGAACAGUAGCUGGCAAGAAAUUAUCCUGGCUUUAGAAUUGAAUUCUCCUUGGUG